UCGUAACAAGGUUUCCGUAGGUGAACCUGCGGAAGGAUCAUUACUGAGUGCGGGCUGCCUUCGGGCGCCCAACCUCCCACCCGUGACUACCUAACACUGUUGCUUCGGCGGGGAGCCCUCUCGGGGGCGCGCCGCCGGGGACUACUGAACUUCAUGCCUGAGAGUGAUGCAGUCUGAGUCUGAAUAUAAAAUCAGUCAAAACUUUCAACAAUGGAUCUCUUGGUUCCGGCAUCGAUGAAGAACGCAGCGAACUGCGAUAAGUAAUGUGAAUUGCAGAAUUCAGUGAAUCAUCGAGUCUUUGAACGCACAUUGCGCCCCCUGGCAUUCCGGGGGGCAUGCCUGUCCGAGCGUCAUUGCUGCCCAUCAAGCCCGGCUUGUGUGUUGGGUCGUCGUCCCCCCCGGGGGACGGGCCCGAAAGGCAGCGGCGGCACCGUGUCCGGUCCUCGAGCGUAUGGGGCUUUGUCACCCGCUCGAUUUAGGGCCGGCCGGGCGCCAGCCGACGUCCAACCAUUUUUCUUCAGGUUGACCUCGGAUCAGGUAGGGAUACCCGCUGAACUUAAGCAUAUCAAUAAGCGGAGGA
rnacentral:misc_RNA from 1 species